GGGAGCAUAGCUCAGUGGUAGAGCAUUUGAUUGCAGCUCAAAGGGUUUCCUAGUUCAAAUUUAGGUGCUUCCU
rfam:Alligator mississippiensis ScZkoYb_279.1, whole genome shotgun sequence.